rnacentral:rRNA from 1 species
UACGAAGGGUGCAAACGUUGCUCGGAAUUAUUGGGCGUAAAGCGCACGUAGGCGGCUUUGCAAGUCGGAUGUGAAAUCCCUCGGCUUAACCAAGGAAGUGCAUCCGAAACUGCAGAGCUUGAGUACUUAAGAGGAUCGCGGAAUUCCCGGUGUAGAGGUGAAAUUCGUAGAUAUCGGGAGGAACACCAGUGGCGAAGGCGGCGAUCUGGGAAGAUACUGACGCUGAGGUACGAAAGCGUGGGGAGCAAACAGG